AGAUGUAAACAGUUUUUUGUUUGACUCGUUGUAAUGUGUGUCCAUGACCUGACCUAAGCCAGCAUGACAAAACAAGCUUAUUUAAGUAUGGUUUUAAUGUCAUUUCUUAUUUAAUGGAAUCACCAAAAUUGCAAAACUGUUUUUUUUUGACAUUCGCAUGUAACCUGCAAUUAGUAAAGGACUUUUAUUUUUGCGGGCCCACUUCCUGUGUUGCCCAAACUCUGCUAACUUAUUUAAAGCCCUGCGUCCAGUGCACAGUAAAAGAUCCUCACCUGUUCCACUGAUUGUGGUUUGCUGUUGGCGUCUUCCUCAAGAAUUCCUCCAAAAAUCUUUAAAUCUAUUGAUUUGAUUGCUGGAAUCACUGGCAUUGUUUACCUGGACCGUCACCGGGAUUCUGUUGGUGCUGAUUGUGGCUCAGUACGGCCCACUCUCUUCUAAAAGGUUGGGUUUUUUUUUCACCUGUCGGAUCAGAUCCUCAUCUGGAUCGAAAGAUGGCGAGCUAGGAAUGGACUAUGGACUUUAUGAUUUGGAAAUCAAUUUAUUGAGUCAGUUCUCAUGUGUCUCAUUGUGUUGUUGUAAUUGUAUGUUUUUUUUAUUCAAAUCACUUAAUAUAUAUUCACCAAAACUAAAAGCACUACCUCCUGUUUUUUUCACACCUCAGGCUCCUUAAAGGGCCACUCUUCUGAUGCUGCUUAUGUAGCCGCAGUUAGCUGCCUAGCCCAUAACUGUUACACGCAGAAUCCAGACAAAUAUUUAGUGAUGGGAAUGCAGCUGCUGUUUUGGUGUAAAUGUUGUGUUUUAACCUCUGUGUUCCUCACUCCGGCCUCGUCUUGCUUCUCCGGCUCCGGACCAACGGUGCGUACGGGUCUUCUCCCGCUGGCAAACAGAUGUUCUCCUUCCCCGCUCUCGGCACACGGCUCCUGCUGUUGGGCUCAGCAGAACCACAGGGAGGCGGACGGUUCUGGUUCUGGACGGAGACGUCAGUGGUCUGAACUCUGUCUGCAGCAGCAGGAGCAUCCUCAGCUCAGGGAGAGGAGAGAAGCUGUAAUAGUAUGUUAAAAAUGAGAGCAGGGGUCCAUCUGUGGCAUCUCACCCGUCUGAACAGACGAGUUUAAACGACGAACUGCUGUCGCCGUUUUCCACACUCUCAGCCUCCCUGGUGACUGCUGAACAUUCGCAAACAAAACCAACAGUUAGAAAAAGUUUUCUAGUAGUUUGUUGUUGAAAUAUUUGGAAAAAAUACACAUAUGCCCAACAUGGUUUAGGUUCGCCGAAACUAAACCCACGGAGAUUUAAGACGGUUUUCACACCUGAUAGUCCGAUAGAGCCGGUCAGACUGGGGACCAAAACUGCAACAUUCGUUACAUUUUCUUUUAUUGAACUUUUCACUUCUAAAUGUAAACCACUCCUGGGACAAAUGAAGUUCUGCUGGACUUGUUUAGCACAGAGAACCGGUUUGUUCUGGGUUGUUUGGGUCGGUUGUGGCGACAUUUAAGUGAUGCUAACUCCCUCCUGAAGGUGGCAGUCUUACUUCCUCUACAAAAGCAAGAAAAUAAGAUUGAGCUAUUUAAGUUCUUUAAAGAAUACAAAUAUUCAUAUUUCCAGUCUGUCUGCUUGUUAUAUUGUUCGGCAUCUUUAAUUAAUAUAUCUAUAAUUAAUUGAUCCCAAAGGGAAGUUAAAUAUUUAUUGUUAUUAUUAACAAUAAUGAUAAUAGUCAACGGGGAUUUAGCACCAAUGUUUGCCAUCAGUUACACUGAACCUAUGAAGGAUGAGGCACAACUUAGUUUCUGACUUUUUCUGAAAGUGGUGAAGGUGUAAUGUUUUUGACC